UGUGUGUGUGUUGGAUGUGUGUGUUGGGGUUUGUGUGUUGGGGUGUGUGUACGUGUAUGUGUUGUGUAUGUUUGUGUGUUGGUGUGGGGUGUUGUGUGUAUUAGUGUAUUAGUGUGUGUGUUGGGUAUGUGUGUUGUGUGUGUGUUGAGGUGUCUACGUGUUGUGUGUUGGGUAUGUGUAUUGUGUGUGUUGAGGUAUCUACGUGUUGUGUGUUGGUGUGUGUGUGUUUUGUGUGUGUUUCGUGUGUGUUGGGUAUGUGUAUGUUGUAUGUGUUGGGGUGUGUGUUGGGUGUUGCGUAUGUACAUUAUGUAUGUAUUGGGAUGUGUGUUGGGUAUAUGUGUGUGUUGGGCAUGUGUGUAUUGGGGCUGUGUAUUUGUGUGUUGGGCGUGUGUUGUGUGUAUUGGGGGUGUAUAUGUGUGUGUUGUGUAUGUUUGUGUGUGUGUUGGGUGUGUGUAUAUGUCAGGUGUGUGUGUUGGGUAUAUGUGUGUGUUGGGGUGUGUGUGUUGGUGUUGUGUGUGUUGGGUGUGUGUUUUGUGUAUUGGGUGUGUUGUGUUGGGUGUGUUGAGUGUGUAUUGGGGGUGUGCAUGUGUGUGUUGCGUGUUGGGUAUGUGUAUGUGUGUUGGGUUUGUGUGUGUGUUGGGUAUGUGUUGUGUGUGUGUUCAGUGUGUGUGUUGGGUAUGUGUGUGUGUUGGGGUGUGUGUGUUGGGUGUGUGUUGGGGUGUGUGUGUUGGGUGUGUGUUGGGGGUGUGUGUUGGGUGUGUGUGUGUUGUGUGCGUGUGUUGGGGGUGUGCGUGUGUUGGGGGUGUGUGUGCUGGGGGUGUGUGUGUUGGGUGUGUGUGUGUGUUGGGUGUGUUUGUGUGUGUGUUGUGGGGGUG
rnacentral:lncRNA from 1 species